AUGUGUCCGGCGUGGGGCAACCCCAAAGGGUUGUUGUUCCAUCUUGCUGGCGAUAACAUCUUCGUUGCUGAGUUUGGUACCCAGGCAGACAGGGCCAGGGUGAUCGAGGGCUCGCCAUGGAUGGUGGGCAAACAUGUUCUUCUUCUUAAGGUAUUUAAUCUGAAUAUCCAGCCUAUCCAAGUUUGGUUUGAUCGUCUGGCCAUUUGGGCCCGCAUCAUGAAUCUGCCGCCAAGACUGAUGAAGGCUAAGCUCGGGAUGGAGUUUGCUAAACCCCUUGGUCGCAUUUCAAAGGUUGAGGCCGACGCUGAUGGCCGCUGCUGGGGUGGAUUCAUGCGUGUUAGAGUGGAAAUCGCUAUAAAUGAGUCGAUCGUUCGCUAUGUGAUGGUGACUUCUACCAGGCUCUAAUCUACUAACACCUACUCUGUGAUGUAUGAGCGGCUGCCGUUCCACUGCUUUUCUUGUGGCCUGCUAGGGCACUCGUCGGUCUUAUGCCCAAACCCGGGCACUAGAGAUGGGGAGGGUGAUCUUCCUUAUGCUGCUAAGAAGUUGUGUGUUCCCGACGAUAGCUACAAGAAAUCCAGAGGAUCAAUAUCCGGUUAUACGUCUUCCUCGUUGGGAGGUGAGGGCAAUGGAGGUGGAUCUGGUUCAUCUUCUUCGAGCCGUCCGAAACCCCGUGGCAGGGUUGGCUCUGAUUUGGAGGGCGAAGUAUCCUAUGACAGUCUAGUUUUUGCCCUCUCUUCUUUUUCUGAUUUUUAUUUGGUUUUGAUUUGA
rnacentral:rRNA from 1 species